AUUGAACGCUGGCGGCAUGCCUUACACAUGCAAGUCGAACGGUAACGGGCCUUCGGGUGCCGACGAGUGGCGAACGGGUGAGUGAUGUAUCGGAACGUACCUUUCAGUGGGGAAUAACGUAGCGAAAGUUACGCUAAUACCGCAUAUUCUGUGCGCAGGAAAGCAGGGGACCUUCAGGCCUUGCGCUGAUUGAGCGGCCGAUAUCAGAUUAGCUAGUUGGUGAGGUAAAGGCUCACCAAGGCGACGAUCUGUAGCGGGUCUGAGAGGAUGAGCCGCCACACUGGAACUGAGACACGGUCCAGAUUCCUACGGGAGGCAGCAGUGGGGAAUUUUGGACAAUGGGGGCAACCCUGAUCCAGCCAUGCCGCGUGAGUGAAGAAGGCCUUCGGGUUGUAAAGCUCUUUCGGCCGGGAAGAAAUCGUAUCAGCUAAUACCUGGUGCGGAUGACGGUACCGGCAUAAGAAGCACCGGCUAACUACGUGCCAGCAGCCGCCGUAACAC
rnacentral:rRNA from 1 species